rnacentral:rRNA from 1 species
GAUGAACGCUGGCGGCGUGCCUAAUACAUGCAAGUCGAGCGAACAGAUGAGGAGCUUGCUCCUCUGACGUUAGCGGCGGACGGGUGAGUAACACGUGGAUAACCUACCUAUAAGACUGGGAUAACUUCGGGAAGCCGGAGCUAAUACCGGAUAAUAUAUUGAACCGCAUGGUUCAAUAGUGAAAGACGGUUUUGCUGUCACUUAUAGAUGGAUCCGCGCCGCAUUAGCUAGUUGGUAAGGUAACGGCUUACCAAGGCAACGAUGCGUAGCCGACCUGAGAGUGUGAUCGGCCACACUGGAACUGAGACACGGUCCAGACUCCUACGGGAGGCAGCAGUAGGGAAUCUUCCGCAAUGGGCGAAAGCCUGACGGAGCAACGCCGCGUGAGUGAUGAAGGUCUUCGGAUCGUAAAACUCUGUUAUUAGGGAAGAACAAAUGUGUAAGUAACUAUGCACGUCUUGACGGUACCUAAUCAGAAAGCCACGGCUAACUACGUG